AUAAUCAUGGAGUAUAAUAAUUAAAUUUAAUAAAUUUAAUAUAACUAUUAAUAGAAUUAGGUUACUAAUAAAUUAAUAACAAUUAAUUUUAAAACCUAAAGGUAAACCUUUAUAUUAAUAAUGUUAUUUUUUAUUAUAUUUAUAAUAAGAAUAAUUAUUAAUAAUAAUAAACUAAGUGAACUGAAACAUCUAAGUAACUUAAGGAUAAGAAAUCAACAGAGAUAUUAUGAGUAUUGGUGAGAGAAAAUAAUAAAGGUCUAAUAAGUAUUAUGUGAAAAAAAUGUAAGAAAAUAGGAUAACAAAUUCUAAGACUAAAUACUAUUAAUAAGUAUAGUAAGUACCGUAAGGGAAAGUAUGAAAAUGAUUAUUUUAUAAGCAAUCAUGAAUAUAUUAUAUUAUAUUAAUGAUGUACCUUUUGUAUAAUGGGUCAGCAAGUAAUUAAUAUUAGUAAAACAAUAAGUUAUAAAUAAAUAGAAUAAUAUAUAUAUAUAAAAAAAUAUAUUAAAAUAUUUAAUUAAUAUUAAUUGACCCGAAAGCAAACGAUCUAACUAUGAUAAGAUGGAUAAACGAUCGAACAGGUUGAUGUUGCAAUAUCAUCUGAUUAAUUGUGGUUAGUAGUGAAAGACAAAUCUGGUUUGCAGAUAGCUGGUUUUCUAUGAAAUAUAUGUAAGUAUAGCCUUUAUAAAUAAUAAUUAUUAUAUAAUAUUAUAUUAAUAUUAUAUAAAGAAUGGUACAGCAAUUAAUAUAUAUUAGGGAACUAUUAAAGUUUUAUUAAUAAUAUUAAAUCUCGAAAUAUUUAAUUAUAUAUAAUAAAGAGUCAGAUUAUGUGCGAUAAGGUAAAUAAUCUAAAGGGAAACAGCCCAGAUUAAGAUAUAAAGUUCCUAAUAAAUAAUAAGUGAAAUAAAUAUUAAAAUAUUAUAAUAUAAUCAGUUAAUGGGUUUGACAAUAACCAUUUUUUAAUGAACAUGUAACAAUGCACUGAUUUAUAAUAAAUAAAAAAAAAAUAAUAUUUAAAAUCAAAUAUAUAUAUAUUUGUUAAUAGAUAAUAUACGGAUCUUAAUAAUAAGAAUUAUUUAAUUCCUAAUAUGGAAUAUUAUAUUUUUAUAAUAAAAAUAUAAAUACUGAAUAUCUAAAUAUUAUUAUUACUUUUUUUUUUUAAUAAUAAUAAUAUGGUAAUAGAACAUUUAAUGAUAAUAUAUAUUAGUUAUUAAUUAAUAUAUGUAUUAAUUAAAUAGAGAAUGCUGACAUGAGUAACGAAAAAAAGGUAUAAACCUUUUCACCUAAAACAUAAGGUUUAACUAUAAAAGUACGGCCCCUAAUUAAAUUAAUAAGAAUAUAAAUAUAUUUAAGAUGGGAUAAUCUAUAUUAAUAAAAAUUUAUCUUAAAAUAUAUAUAUUAUUAAUAAUUAUAUUAAUAAUAUAUAUAAUUAUAUUAUAUAUUAUAUAUUUUUUUAUAUAAUAUAAACUAAUAAAGAUCAGGAAAUAAUUAAUGUAUACCGUAAUGUAGACCGACUCAGGUAUGUAAGUAGAGAAUAUGAAGGUGAAUUAGAUAAUUAAAGGGAAGGAACUCGGCAAAGAUAGCUCAUAAGUUAGUCAAUAAAGAGUAAUAAGAACAAAGUUGUACAACUGUUUACUAAAAACACCGCACUUUGCAGAAACGAUAAGUUUAAGUAUAAGGUGUGAACUCUGCUCCAUGCUUAAUAUAUAAAUAAAAUUAUUUAACGAUAAUUUUAUUAAAUUUAGGUAAAUAGCAGCCUUAUUAUGAGGGUUAUAAUGUAGCGAAAUUCCUUGGCCUAUAAUUGAGGUCCCGCAUGAAUGACGUAAUGAUACAACAACUGUCUCCCCUUUAAGCUAAGUGAAAUUGAAAUCGUAGUGAAGAUGCUAUGUACCUUCAGCAAGACGGAAAGACCCUAUGCAGCUUUACUGUAAUUAGAUAGAUCGAAUUAUUGUUUAUUAUAUUCAGCAUAUUAAGUAAUCCUAUUAUUAGGUAAUCGUUUAGAUAUUAAUGAGAUACUUAUUAUAAUAUAAUGAUAAUUCUAAUCUUAUAAAUAAUUAUUAUUAUUAUUAUUAAUAAUAAUAAUAUGCUUUCAAGCAUAGUGAUAAAACAUAUUUAUAUGAUAAUCACUUUACUUAAUAGAUAUAAUUCUUAAGUAAUAUAUAAUAUAUAUUUUAUAUAUAUUAUAUAUAAUAUAAGAGACAAUCUCUAAUUGGUAGUUUUGAUGGGGCGUCAUUAUCAGCAAAAGUAUCUGAAUAAGUCCAUAAAUAAAUAUAUAAAAUUAUUGAAUAAAAAAAAUAAUAUAUAUUAUAUAUAUUAAUUAUAAAUUGAAAUAUGUUUAUAUAAAUUUAUAUUUAUUGAAUAUAUUUUAGUAAUAGAUAAAAAUAUGUACAGUAAAAUUGUAAGGAAAACAAUAAUAACUUUCCUCAAAAAAUAAUUAUGGAAAGAAUUAAAUUAAUAUAAUGGUAUAACUGUGCGAUAAUUGUAACACAAACGAGUGAAACAAGUACGUAAGUAUGGCAUAAUGAACAAAUAACACUGAUUGUAAAGGUUAUUGAUAACGAAUAAAAGUUACGCUAGGGAUAACAGGGUAAUAUAACGAAAGAGUAGAUAUUGUAAGUUAUGUUUGCCACCUCGAUGUCGACUCAACAUUUCCUCUUGGUUGUAAAAGCUAAGAAGGGUUUGACUGUUCGUCAAUUAAAAUGUUACGUGAGUUGGGUUAAAUACGAUGUGAAUCAGUAUGGUUCCUAUCUGCUGAAGGAAAUAUUAUCAAAUUAAAUCUCAUUAUUAGUACGCAAGGACCAUAAUGAAUCAACCCAUGGUGUAUCUAUUGAUAAUAAUAUAAUAUAUUUAAUAAAAAUAAUACUUUAUUAAUAUAUUAUCUAUAUUAGUUUAUAUUUUAAUUAUAUAUUAUCAUAGUAGAUAAGCUAAGUUGAUAAUAAAUAAAUAUUGAAUACAUAUUAAAUAUGAAGUUGUUUUAAUAAGAUAAUUAAUCUGAUAAUUUUAUACUAAAAUUAAUAAUUAUAGGUUUUAUAUAUUAUUUAUAAAUAAAUAUAUUAUAAUAAUAAUAAUUAUUAUUAUUAAUAAAAAAUAU
rnacentral:rRNA from 1 species